UUUGGGUUUGUUAAGUAUAAGAUACUUCCAAAUGAUUUUUUUGGGGUUUUAAUCAUAGAUGCACGAUCGUGAUUUGUGGAAAUGUGUUCUGUGUAAUAUUUGUUCUGUCCAGUUCGUUUGAGAGUUGUUGAUUUAAUCUAAUUUUUGUAGGACGAUUUGAUCUAGUUUUUGUUUUCUUUUACUAAAUUUCGUGACAGAUUGGUACAAUUGUGUGAAAUUGGCAGAAGAUUUGUGGGUUGAGACAGCAAUGGGUGGAUCCCUUAUAUAUGAGGAUAGCAAAUAGUGUUCUUGUAAUACGCAUACAAGAACACUAGCCCAGGAAGAUACUUGAAGAUGAAUAUUUUCUUUCGCGACUGCAAAUCCGGGAGAAGAGGUUAGCUAAAGGUGGAAUUCUCUUAGCUGCUACACUUAAUUUCGUAGUGGAGAAUCACAAACAGAAGACAAACAUCUCUAGUUUAGAAAGAGUAUGAUAACUUCCAUCAGGAAAAUAGGUAAAAUAGUUAAAUAUUUAUAUAUUCGGGUGAAUUUGCAUGCUUAGCUUCAUUGUACCUUUAUUUUGGGGAUUAAGGUUCUGUUUUUUAAUUUUUGGCAAAUUCUUCAUAUUACACUCUUAGUACUGGCUUUUUCAAGAGAUAAA